rnacentral:rRNA from 1 species
AACGAACGCUGGCGGCAUGCCUAACACAUGCAAGUCGAACGAGAUCUUCGGAUCUAGUGGCGCACGGGUGCGUAACGCGUGGGAAUCUGCCCUUGGGUUCGGGAUAACAGUUGGAAACGACUGCUAAUACCGGAUGAUGACUUCGGUCCAAAGAUUUAUCGCCCAAGGAUGAGCCCGCGUAAGAUUAGCUUGUUGGUGAGGUAAAGGCUCACCAAGGCGACGAUCUUUAGCUGGUCUGAGAGGAUGAUCAGCCACACUGGGACUGAGACACGGCCCAGACUCCUACGGGAGGCAGCAGUGGGGAAUAUUGGACAAUGGGCGAAAGCCUGAUCCAGCAAUGCCGCGUGAGUGAUGAAGGCCUUAGGGUUGUAAAGCUCUUUUACCCGGGAUGAUAAUGACAGUACCGGGAGAAUAAGCCCCGGCUAACUCCGUGCCAGCCGCCGCCGUAACAC